rnacentral:rRNA from 1 species
AGAGUUUGAUCCUGGCUCAGGAUGAACGCUGGCGGUAUGCUUAACACAUGCAAGUCGAACGAAGCUAUUUUUUUGAACCUUCGGGGGAAAUUAAAUAGACUGAGUGGCGAACGGGUGAGUAAUACGCAAGAACCUACCUCUAGGAAGGGGAUAACAAUUGGAAACGAUUGCUAAUACCCUAUAUGCUUCCGAGUAAAAUAGUUUUUUGCCUGGAGAGGGGCUUGUGCCUGAUUAGCUAGUUGGUUAGGUAAUGGCUAACCAAGGCGACGAUCAGUAGCUGGCUUGAGAGGGCGACCAGCCACACUGGGACUGAGACACGGCCCAGACUCCUACGGGAGGCAGCAGUGAGGAAUUUUCCGCAAUGAGCGAAAGCUUGACGGAGCAAUACCGCGUGGAGGACGAAGGCUCAUGGGUCGUAAACUCCUUUUCUUAGGAAAGAAUUUUGACGGUACCUAAGGAAUAAGCAUCGGCUAAUUCCGUGCCAGCAGCCGCGGUAAGACGGGAGAUGCAAGCGUUAUUCGGAUUUAUUGGGCGUAAAGGGUUUGUAGGUUGUUGGUUAAGUCUAUGGUCAAAUUCCGAAGCUCAACUUCGGGCCGGCACUAGAAACUAAUCAACUUGAGUACGUUAGAGGCAGGGGGAAUUCCCAGUGUAGCGGUGAAAUGCGUAGAUAUUGGGAGGAACAUCAAUGGCGAAAGGCACCCUGCUAGGCCGAUACUGACACUGAAAAACGAAAGCUAGGGGAGCAAAUGGAUUAGAUACCCCAGUAGUCCUAGCUGUAAACGAUGGGGACUAACUUUGGUUUUAAAAAUCAGAGUUAAAGCUAACGCGUUAAGUCCCCCGCCUGGGAGUACGCCCGCAGAGUGAACUCAAAGGAAUGACGGGGACCCGCACAGCGUGAGCAUGUGGUUUAAUCGAUGCACGCGAGAACUACAGGCUUGACAUACUGUGAUCACUAUGAAAAUAGGCGAGCGAAGCACAGAAUCAGUGGUGCAUGGCCUGUCGUCCAGCUCCGGUCCUGAAUGUUGGUUAGUCCCGAACGAGCCAACAUUAUCUCAGUACUUCUAGACCUUGAGACUGCGGUUACGAAAGUGAUGAUAAACUCAGCUAUAUGCU